rnacentral:rRNA from 1 species
CCUACGGGGGGCAGCAGUGAGGAAUAUUGGUCAAUGGCCGGAAGGCUGAACCAGCCAUGCCGCGUGAAGGUCAGUGCCCUAUGGGCGUUAAACUUCUUUUGUGCGGGAGCAAUAAUGGUCACGUGUGGCCAGACGAGAGUACCGUAUGAAUAAGCAUCGGCUAACUCCGUGCCAGCAGCCGCGGUAAUACGGGGGAUGCAAGCGUUAUCCGGAUUUAUUGGGUUUAAAGGGUGCGUAGGCUGUGAGGUAAGUCAGCGGUGAAAUGCCCCCGCUCAACGGGGUGAAGUGCCAUUGAUACUGUCUGGCUGGAAUGCGGAUGCCGUGGGAGGAAUGUGUGGUGUAGCGGUGAAAUGCAUAGAUAUCACACAGAACACCGAUUGCGAAGGCAUCUCACGAAUCCGCGAUUGACGCUGAUGCACGAAAGCGUGGGUAUCAAACAGGAUUAGAUACCCCUGUAGUC